rnacentral:rRNA from 1 species
GAUGAACGCUAGCGGGAGGCCUAACACAUGCAAGCCGAGCGGUAUUUGUUCUUCGGAACAGAGAGAGCGGCGCACGGGUGCGGAACACGUGUGCAACCUGCCUUUAUCUGGGGGAUAGCCUUUCGAAAGGAAGAUUAAUUCCCCAUAAUAUAUUGAGUGGCAUCACUUGAUAUUGAAAACUCCGGUGGAUAGAGAUGGGCACGCGCAAGAUUAGAUAGUUGGUGAGGUAACGGCUCACCAAGUCAAUGAUCUUUAGGGGGCCUGAGAGGGUGAUCCCCCACACUGGUACUGAGACACGGACCAGACUCCUACGGGAGGCAGCAGUGAGGAAUAUUGGACAAUGGGUUAGCGCCUGAUCCAGCCAUCCCGCGUGAAGGACGACGGCCCUAUGGGUUGUAAACUUCUUUUGUAUAGGGAUAAACCUACUCUCGUGAGAGUAGCUGAAGGUACUAUACGAAUAAGCACCGGCUAACUCCGUG